rnacentral:rRNA from 1 species
GUCUUUUUGAUUAUAAUUUAAAGUCUGACCUGCCCAAUGAGUAUUUAAAUGGCCGCGGUAAUUUGACCGUGCAAAGGUAGCAUAAUCAUUAGUUUUUUAAUUGAAAGCUGGAAUGAACGGUUGGACGAGAAAAUAACUGUCUCAAUUUAAUUGUAUAUAGAAUUUUAUUUGUAAGUAAAAAAGCUUACAUAAAUUUAAAAGACGAGAAGACCCUAUAGAGUUUUAUACUUUAUUAUAUUGAUUAAUUUUAGUAUAUUUAUAUAUUUAAUAUAAUAAAGUAUUUUGCUGGGGCAGCAGAAAAAUUAGUGAAACUUUUUUUAUUAGAAUUACAUUGAUUUAUGAUUUAAUGAUCCAUUUUUUAUGAUUAUAAGAUUAAAUUACCUUAGGGAUAACAGCGUAAUUUUUUUUUAGAGUUCUUAUCGAAAAAAGAGUUUGCGACCUCGAUGUUGGAUUAAAAUUAACUUUUGGUGUAGGGGCUAAAAGGUUAGGUCUGUUCGACCUUUAAAAUUUUACA